GACGAACGCUGGCGGCGUGCCUAAUACAUGCAAGUCGAACGCACUCUCGUUUAGAUUAAAGGAGUUUGCUCCUGAUUGAUAAACAUUUGAGUGAGUGGCGGACGGGUGAGUAACACGUGGGUAACCUGCCCUAAAGUGGGGGAUAACAUUUGGAAACAGAUGCUAAUACCGCAUAAAACCUAACACCGCAUGGUGUAGGGUUGAAAGAUGGUUUCGGCUAUCACUUUAGGAUGGACCCGCGGUGCAUUAGUUAGUUGGUGAGGUAAAGGCUCACCAAGGCCGUGAUGCAUAGCCGACCUGAGAGGGUAAUCGGCCACACUGGGACUGAGACACGGCCCAGACUCCUACGGGAGGCAGCAGUAGGGAAUCUUCCACAAUGGACGAAAGUCUGAUGGAGCAACGCCGCGUGAGUGAAGAAGGUUUUCGGAUCGUAAAACUCUGUUGUUGGAGAAGAAUGUAUCUGAUAGUAACUGAUCAGGUAGUGACGGUAUCCAACCAGAAAGCCACGGCUAACUACGUG
rnacentral:rRNA from 1 species